GAAAUGCGAUAAGUAAUGUGAAUUGCAGAAUUCCGUGAAUCAUCGAAUCUUUGAACGCACAUUGCGCCCUCUGGCAUGCCGGGGGGCAUGCCUGUCCGAGCGUCAUUACGCACCCUCAAGCCCGGCUUGUGUGAUGGGCCCCGGCGUCUCGUUCGCGAGACGGGCCCGAAAGGCAGCGGCGGCGUCGACCCGAUGAGCCCGAGCGUAUGGGGACUUCUGUCACACGUUCGCGGUGCGGACCGGCGCCUGCUUGACUUUUCUGAUUAUCCAGGUUGACCUCGGAUCAGGUAGGGAUACCCGCUGAACUUAAGC
rnacentral:misc_RNA from 1 species